rnacentral:rRNA from 1 species
CGGAGGAUCCGAGCGUUAUCCGGAUUUAUUGGGUUUAAAGGGUGCGUAGGCGGGAUAGUAAGUCAGUGGUGAAAGCCCGCAGCUCAACUGCGGAACUGCCAUUGAUACUGCUAACCUUGAGUAUGUAUGAUGUGGGCGGAAUGUGCAGUGUAGCGGUGAAAUGCUUAGAUAUUGCACAGAACACCGAUUGCGAAGGCAGCUCACAAAACCAUAACUGACGCUGAGGCACGAAAGCGUGGGGAUCAAACAGGAUUAGAUACCCUGGUAGUCCACGCCUUAAACGUUGAAUACUCGAUGUGUGCGAUAUACUGUACGCGUCUAAGCGAAAGUGAUAAGUAUUCCACCUGGGGAGUACGCUCGCAAGAGUG